AAAGCCACCUGCCUCUGCCCUUUUCCUGAUUCUGCCAUGGGCCCAAAAUUCACCUGCUUCAUUGUCCUUUGUCUCCUGGGUGCAGGCUUCCUUGAGGCAGAAGUCAGCCAGGCUCCAGGGCACCUGGUCCAAGGGAAAGGACAGAAAGUGAAAAUGUAUUGUGUUCCAAGAAAAGGAGACAUUUAUGUUUCCUGGUAUCGACAGAUCCUGGCAAAAGAGUUCAAGUUCUUGGUUUCCUUCCAAAAUAAUGCCUUGGAUGAAACAGAGAUGCCCAAGGAGAGGUUUUCCGCUGAGUGCCCCCAAGGCUCACCCUGUAGCCUGGAGAUCCAGCCUGCGGAGCUGCAGGAUUCAGCCGUGUAUCUUUGUGCCAGCAGUCCCCAGCCCGGCCGUGCAGGAAGACGCGUGAAAAGGCGCUUCCCCGUCCUCCUGCCUCAGAAGCAGCAGCUUGAUUGCUGUGGCUCCAGCUGCGGCCGGUAG